rnacentral:rRNA from 1 species
CCUACGGGAGGCAGCAGUAAGGAAUAUUGGUCAAUGGGCGCAAGCCUGAACCAGCCAUGCCGCGUGCAGGAUGACGGCCCUCUGGGUUGUAAACUGCUUUUAUACGGGAAGAACAGCAUCUACGUGUAGGUGUUUGACGGUACUGUAAGAAUAAGGACCGGCUAACUUCGUGCCAGCAGCCGCGGUAAUACGAAGGGUCCAAGCGUUAUCCGGAUUUAUUGGGUUUAAAGGGUGCGUAGGCGGCUUUUUAAGUCAGUGGUGAAAGCCUGAUGCUCAACAUCAGAACUGCCAUUGAUACUGAAGAGCUUGAGUACAGUUGAGGUUGGCGGAAUGUGUCAUGUAGCGGUGAAAUGCUUAGAUAUGACACAGAACACCGAUUGCGAAGGCAGCUAGCUAAGCUGUUACUGACGCUGAUGCACGAAAGCGUGGGGAGCAAACAGGAUUAGAUACCCUGGUAGUCCACGCCCUAAACGUUGAUAACUCGUUGUUAGCGAUAUACUGUUAGCGACCAAGCGAAAGCAUUAAGUUAUCCACCUGGAAGUACGGUCGCAAGAUUGAAACUNAAAGGAAUUGACCGGNUGAGACGAGCGAGGACGACGACGAGGGAGGAGG